rnacentral:misc_RNA from 1 species
AAUAUAUAUAGUUGUUAAACAUGCCGCCCGUGGCGCCACGAGUCGCAUCUGCAGCAACACGCCACUACAUCAGCAUGCGGUUAGCUCACUGUAUUCAUUCUGCGUACAUCAAAAUCCUUCAGAGGGAAUUUUGGACUUCGAUCUAACAUUUCAUUGACAAAGGAGAAGGAGGAAGAGGUCCCCGCGUACCUGACCCUUCUAGGUCACAAAGACCUAAAUUCCGACCAGGAGAAGAGAGACAAAGAAGAGGGCAUGUGACGUCAAGAGAACCCUGUUCACGUGGUGUGGUCAGAGAGGGAGUAUAAAGGCGUGUUUACAAUACAAGGUCUGGAAAACUUUCCAGUAUCCCUUUUGAAGAUAAGACGAUUCAGAUAUGAUUUUUUUUUAUUGUAAUCGUGAUUACACUCUGCCUGAUUAAUUCUGUUACAGCAUCCGUAUUCACAGAUAAAGUAGAGAAAAAGAACGGUGUGGUGUUAUUGGAAUAGACGAUCCAAACUGUAAGCUGGUACCUGGAGAAGGACAUUACCCGUCCUGCUGCCCUGCUCUAAGAAACCGGAUAACAAAUAAAUAUCGGGGGUUGAAAUUUUGGUUUUUCGUUUUCAUUGAUUUCCAGCGUGUAAGAGGAGACAGAAGAAAUGUGAUGACAAUUUGUAACCGUCUGAAAUAACUGAUUGUAAUGAAGCAGAAACUAACUGUUGACUAAGAGAUCUCGAAAUAAAACAUUUGUAUCGAAAUCAUUCAUUGAUUUGCCACUCCUCCACAGUGGCUCAGGGUUAAGCUCGAUGGCUUAUAACGAUAAAAAUAGGGUUUCGAUACCUGCAGUGGCCACAGCACAGAUAACCAUUUUUUUAGCUGUUUUUUAGUAUUAUGUACACUACAUAAAGAAAAUACUUUCACUGAUACGAAAAAUAAGACUUGCCAGUGUUUCUAAUUCUAAGAUAUGACUACAAUAAUGUCUUAGUCAAAUCCUAUAAAACUAAAUACUAAUUAAUUUUGUCAGGUUUUUAUAGCUCGGAUUCUUUACAGUAUGUGUCUGUGACUUGUUGGCGAUAUAUUUCAACA